rnacentral:tRNA from 1 species
AGUAUAGCGCCGGAUGAACGGAUUAUAUUGAUGUUAUAAAUUAUAAGGGAUACUCCUUCUAUACUU